rnacentral:ncRNA from 1 species
UUUUGUUGAAGUUUUCAAACAACCUCGGAUGACACGCCCUAUACCAAGUUUAUAGUGCUUGAAGAGAUCUAUAAACCUUCUAGUUUUUUUUUGUUUGAGAUCAUUUAGGUCCCAAAAUAUUCAAUAAAAGAUGGCAUGCCUAAAAAAAACUGAAGAUAUAUGGGGCCAAACCACAACGAACUAUUUUGGACAAAGGGAUAUGUUAAGGGGGUAAUAAGUUGUUUGGUAUAAGCAUCGGCUAACUCUGUGCCAGCAGCCGCGGUAAGACAGAGGAUGCAAACGUUAUCCGAAAUGAUUGGGCAUAAAGCGUCUGUAGGUGGCUUUUCAAGUCCGCCGUCAAAUCCCAGGGCUCAACCCUGGACAGGCGGUGGAAACUACCAAGCUGGAGUACAGUAGGGGUAGAGGGAAUUUCUGGUGGAGCGGUGAAAUGCAUUAAGAUCGGAAAGAACACCAACGGCGAAAGCACUCUGCUGGGCCGACACAGGCACUGAGAGACGAAAGCUAGGGGAGCAAAUGGGAUUAGAGACCCCAGUAGUCCUAGCCGUAAACGAUGGAUACUAUGUGCUGUGCGACUCGACCCGUGCAGAGAGUUCGAGGAUGCAGCGACUAAUUUCAGUUUAGGGGAGCAAAUCGACUUU